UGAACGCUGGCGGCGUGCCUAAUACAUGCACGUCGAGCGAACGGACGAGAAGCUUGCUUCUCUGAUGUUAGCGGCGGACGGGUGAGUAACACGUGGAUAACCUACCUAUAAGACUGGGAUAACUUCGGGAAACCGGAGCUAAUACCGGAUAAUAUUUUGAACCGCAUGGUUCAAAAGUGAAAGACGGUCUUGCUGUCACUUAUAGAUGGAUCCGCGCUGCAUUAGCUAGUUGGUAAGGUAACGGCUUACCAAGGCAACGAUGCAUAGCCGACCUGAGAGGGUGACCGGCCACACUGGAACUGAGACACGGUCCAGACUCCUACGGGAGGCAGCAGUAGGGAAUCUUCGGCAAUGGGCGAAAGCCUGACGGAGCAACGCCGCGUGAGUGAUGAAGGUCUUCGGGUCGUAAAACUCUGUUAUUAGGAAAGAACAUAUGUGUAAGUAACUGUGCACAUCUUGACGGUACCUAAUCAGAAAGCCACGGCUAACUACGUG
rnacentral:rRNA from 1 species